AUUGAACGCUGGCGGCAGGCCUAACACAUGCAAGUCGAACGGUAACAGAAAGCAGCUUGCUGCUUUGCUGACGAGUGGCGGACGGGUGAGUAAUGUCUGGGAAACUGCCUGAUGGAGGGGGAUAACUACUGGAAACGGUAGCUAAUACCGCAUAACGUCGCAAGACCAAAGAGGGGGACCUUCGGGCCUCUUGCCAUCGGAUGUGCCCAGAUGGGAUUAGCUAGUAGGUGGGGUAAAGGCUCACCUAGGCGACGAUCCCUAGCUGGUCUGAGAGGAUGACCAGCCACACUGGAACUGAGACACGGUCCAGACUCCUACGGGAGGCAGCAGUGGGGAAUAUUGCACAAUGGGCGCAAGCCUGAUGCAGCCAUGCCGCGUGUAUGAAGAAGGCCUUCGGGUUGUAAAGUACUUUCAGCGGGGAGGAAGGGAGUAAAGUUAAUACCUUUGCUCAUUGACGCUACCCGCAGAAGAAGCACCGGCUAACUCCGUG
rnacentral:rRNA from 1 species